CUCCGAGUAGUGUUUUGGGGGCGGAGCUACAAGGAGAGGCGGGGCCUUAGGGUGAGUGACAGCCGACCUGGCCAUAGGGAGACACCACUGAAUACUGACGUUGGUACGUUCAGUGGGCUGCGUAUCGGAGAAGUACAGUCUGUAGGAGAGCUGUCCAGGCCAGAGUUUAUCACACACCCACACCGCUACUUCAACCAUAGAGACAAUACCAGCCCAAUAUACCCAGCCAUACCUGCCAACAGUGAGGUGGUGAAGGCUGCCUUUGACGAGCGGAGUCUGUUCCCUAAAGAGCUCCUGGAUGGGAGGACAAGACUAUCCAUGGAGCCAGGAA